UGUUUUGAAGUGGAAAAAAUGUUGAAAUAUGAAUAUAAUCUGGAUUAUAUUUUAAAAGUUGACACCCUAUAUAACUUUGAAAAUGUUAGCAUUUUGAAAAACUAGAUUUAAAGCCAAAGAUGAUAAAUAUUUUUGUGGCUGUUGUAGGAUUUCAUCAUCUGCAUCGAAAUGUUCCUUGUGGCCAUUGCCCAUGUACAUUGCCAUGUAUUCUCCUACAAACCCUACGUGCAAGAGGCAGAGGAAGGCUCUUGCUUUGGCUGUUUCCUGGCCAUGUGGCAUGUGUCAGAUGUCAGAGAUGAUUAUUUCUCAACAAGUAAGAUGCCUGGGUGGGUCGCCCCCGUUGACACCCCGCUGGCCGGGGCAUCAGGCCUUUGGACACUCGAUUACUUUACAGAAUGCAGCCGCUGCAUCCAAGUCAUGUGAAGACAUUGUCACUGAUAUCCCAGAAGAACAGGAACCUCCUGAUACAGGCCAACAUCAAGACUUAGAAGACACAGAUACUUCACAGGAUGCACUUUCUGAGGCCAAGCUGUGUGAAGAUGUAAUGAUUAAUAUCCCAGAAGAGCAGAAGGAGCCCCCUAAUAAAUUUAUAUAUUAUCUUAAAGGGAGAACAAUGAAAUGUUAUCCAGAAAAAAAAAAAAAAAAAAGUUUUCCUGAAGACUCGGAACAUUCUGAACACACAAGUUGGCUUUCCUGAUCAUCACAAGAUGUAGUAUCUGCAGGUUCAAAGCCAUCCUCACUUGCCCCAGGACUAGGAUGCAGCCCAUACCUGCGAGGAGCCUCAACCACAGCGCGACCCGAGGACGCAGCGCCAGCAGCUGGUCAUUUUUCUCUGUAGAGAGCCAGAAGAGAAAACAAUCAAAGAAGAGAAAGUGCCAAAAUCUCGGUUUGGUUUGUUUUCUUGGCUUUCGUAAGCUAAUUUGUUUAUGAAAAUGCCCAGCGUGUGUAAUCUGAGCAACUGGAGGCGAUGGAUCCGACCCCUGGUCAUACUUACUUAUGUAGUAGCUUGCUGAUCUUUGUUACCUUGUGUGUUUGGAAGU